UACGUAGGGGGCUAGCGUUGUCCGGAAUCAUUGGGCGUAAAGCGCGCGUAGGCGGCCCGGUAAGUCCGCUGUGAAAGUCCAGGGCUCAACCCUGGAAAGCCGGUGGAUACUGCCGGGCUAGAGUCCGGAAGAGGCGAGUGGAAUUCCUGGUGUAGCGGUGGAAUGCGCAGAUAUCAGGAGGAACACCGAUGGCGAAGGCAGUUCUCUGGGCCGUAACUGACGCUGAGGAGCGAAAGCGUGGGGAGCGAACAGG
rnacentral:rRNA from 1 species